AUGGGAGAUGCUUUCUCUUGAAACAUCACAACAAAAUUCUUAGAUAGAUCGUAUAGAAGUUAUGGAAAAAAAUAAGAUAAAAAUGACUGGAGUUGUGAUUAUGAUAAUGAUUAGGGUGAGUUUUUCAUUGGGUGAUUACAAUCAUCCAUUUGAUCAAAUUGGACCAAAUCAUGUGUCUGACAAACUCAGAUGUGUUGACCUUUGUAAAAUAGAAUGUGCGCCUUUACUAAUACCUCCUGGCGGUGGCCUUCUAUAUAUAUAUAUUGUGUUAAAAAGUGUGUGGCUGGUUGUGGCUUGAGCAGAUCCAUUGAUGCUCGUCAUAUUGCGGCCAACAGAGCAGGUUCCUGCGUGCAAAGAUGUCAAAACAAAUAAUAUUUUGUUACAAAAAUGUUUAGAAAAAGAGUGUCAAGAGAAAUAAUACUCAUGUAUGAUUAAUACUCAUGUAUGAUUGUAAUGAAUAAAUCAUAAUCAAUGAAUAGCAUCUACUUCUUCUUCUUUCUUUUUUUU